CGAGCGAAGCAUAUUAGCAGAAGUUUUCGGAUGGAAGCGGAUAUGACUUAGCGGCGGACGGGUGAGUAACGCGUGGAUAACCUGCCUCAUACAGGGGGAUAACAGUUAGAAAUGACUGCUAAUACCGCAUAAGCGCACAGGACCGCAUGGUCCAGUGUGAAAAACUCCGGUGGUAUGGGAUGGAUCCGCGUCUGAUUAGCUGGUUGGUGAGGUAACGGCCCACCAAGGCGACGAUCAGUAGCCGACCUGAGAGGGUGGCCGGCCACAUUGGGACUGAGACACGGCCCAAACUCCUACGGGAGGCAGCAGUGGGGAAUAUUGCACAAUGGGGGAAACCCUGAUGCAGCAACGCCGCGUGAGUGAAGAAGUAUUUCGGUAUGUAAAGCUCUAUCAGCAGGGAAGAAGAAAGACGGUACCUGACUAAGAAGCCCCGGCUAACUACGUGCCAGCAGCCGCGGUAAUACGUAGGGGGCAAGCGUUAUCCGGAUUUACUGGGUGUAAAGGGAGCGUAGACGGCUGUGCAAGUCUGAAGUGAAAGCCCGUGGCUCAACCGCGGAACUGCUUUGGAAACUGUAUAGCUUGAGUACUGGAGAGGCAGGCGGAAUUCCUAGUGUAGCGGUGAAAUGCGUAGAUCUUUGGGGAAACACCAGUGGCGAAGGCGGCCUGCUGGACAGAAACUGACGUUGAGGCUCGAAAGCGUGGGGAGCUUUUAAGGGGNGGNNCNNNGGNNGNNNNNGAGGGNAAGGGCCUUUAUGANNNNNNNNNNNNAACUCUUCGGUGCCGUCGCAAACGCAGUAAGCAUUCCACCUGGGGAGUACGUUCGCAAGAAUGAAACUCAAAGGAAUUGACGGGGACCCGCACAAGCGGUGGAGCAUGUGGUUUAAUUCGAAGCAACGCGAAGAACCUUACCAAGUCUUGACAUCCUCCUGAAUGAUGGGUAAAGCCGUCAGGCCUUCGGGACAGGAGAGACAGGUGGUGCAUGGUUGUCGUCAGCUCGUGUCGUGAGAUGUUGGGUUAAGUCCCGCAACGAGCGCAACCCUUAUCCUCAGUAGCCAGCGGCCAGGCCGGGCACUCUGUGGAGACUGCCAGGGAGAACCUGGAGGAAGGUGGGGAUGACGUCAAAUCAUCAUGCCCCUUAUGAUUUGGGCUACACACGUGCUACAAUGGCGUAAACAAAGGGAAGCGAAGUGGCGACACGGAGCGAACCCCAAAAAUAACGUCUCAGUUCGGAUUGUAGUCUGCAACUCGACUACAUGAAGCUGGAAUCGCUAGUAAUCG
rnacentral:rRNA from 1 species